rnacentral:rRNA from 1 species
CGAGGGGCAGCGCGGGUAGUAUACUUGGCGGCGACCGGCGGAAGGGUGCGUAACGCGUGAGCAACAUGCCCGUAUCAGGGGGAUAAGUCAGGGAAACUUGAUCUAAUACCCCAUAAUAAGCUUUUAGGCAUCUUAGAAAUUUUAAAGCUUUGGUGGAUACGGAUUGGCUCGCGUGACAUUAGCUAGAUGGUAGGGUAACGGCCUACCAUGGCUACGAUGUCUAGGGGUUCUGAGAGGAAGAUCCCCCACACUGGAACUGAGACACGGUCCAGACUCCUACGGGAGGCAGCAGUGAGGAAUAUUGGACAAUGGAUGGAAAUCUGAUCCAGCCAUGCCGCGUGCAGGAAGACGGCCCUAUGGGUUGUAAACUGCUUUUAUACGGGAGCAAUAAGGACUAUGCGUAGUUUGAUGAGAGUACCGUAUGAAUAAGCACCGGCUAACUCCGUGCCAGCAGCCGCGGUAAUACGGAGGGUGCAAGCGUUAUCCGGAUUUAUUGGGUUUAAAGGGUGCGUAGGCGGUUUCUUAAGUCAGCGGUGAAAGUUUUCAGCUUAACUGGAAAAAUGCCGUUGAUACUGAUAAGCUGGAAUAUGGUUGCUGUGGGUGGAAUGUGUGGUGUAGCCGGUGAAAUGCUUAGAGAUCACACAGAAUAUCGAUUGCGAAGGCAGCUCACAAAGCCAUUAUUGACGCUGAUGCACGAAAGUGUGGGGAUCAAACAGGAUUAGAUACCCUGGUAGUCCACACUGUAAACGAUGAUAACUCGCUGUCGGCGAUAUACAGUCGGUAGCCAAGCGAAAGCGAUAAGUUAUCCACCUGGGGAGUACGACCGCAAGGUUGAAACUCAAAGGAAUUGACGGGGGCCCGCACAAGCGGAGGAACAUGUGGUUUAAUUCGAUGAUACGCGAGGAACCUUACCCGGGCUCGAACGGUGCAGGAUUAAUUCAGAGAUGGAUUAGCUAGCAAUAGUCUGUAUCGAGGUGCUGCAUGGUUGUCGUCAGCUCGUGCCGUGAGGU